rnacentral:rRNA from 1 species
UACGUAGGGGGCAAGCGUUGUCCGGAAUCAUUGGGCGUAAAGAGCGUGCAGGCGGCUCGGUAAGUCCGCUGUGAAAGUCCAGGGCUCAACCCUGGAAUGCCGGUGGAAACUGUCGAGCUAGAGUCCGGAAGAGGCGAGUGGAAUUCCUGGUGUAGCGGUGAAAUGCGCAGAUAUCAGGAGGAACACCAAUGGCGAAGGCAGCUCGCUGGGACGUGACUGACGCUGAGACGCGAAAGCGUGGGGAGCAAACAGG